GAAAUGCGAUAAGUAAUGUGAAUUGCAGAAUUCAGUGAAUCAUCGAAUCUUUGAACGCACCUUGCGCUCCUUGGUAUUCCUUGGAGCAUGCCUGUUUGAGUAUCAUGAAAUCUUCAAAGUAAAUCUUUUGUUAACUCAAUUGGUUUCUACUUUGGUAUUGGAGGUCUUUGCAGCUUCACACCUGCUCCUCUUUGUUCAUUAGCUGGAUCUCAGUGUUAUGCUUGGUUCCACUCGGCGUGAUAAGUUAUCUAUCGCUGAGGAAACUGUAAAAGGUGGCCAAGGUAAAUGCAGAUGAACCGCUUCUAAUAGUCCAUUGACUUGGACAAUACUUUUAUGAUCUGAUCUCAAAUCAGGUAGGGCUACCCGCUGAACUUAAGC
rnacentral:misc_RNA from 1 species